rnacentral:sRNA from 1 species
AUCAUUGAUAGAGGACGAUGAAUUAGAAGAAGAAAGAAGACUAUGCUAUGUUGGUAUAACUAGAGCAAAGGAAGAGCUUUAUUUAACCCAUGCAUCAAU